AAAGGAGACUAUAAAAGGAGCUGCGGUGAACCGGGCUCGUUCUUUUACGACGGAGCCUAAGAUAUUCUUUGUCUUGUCGGUACUAGAGUCACCGAAAGAGACAUCCUAAUAUAUGCACGUUCACAAGGACAAUGGCGCCAUUGUUCUUCGCGUCUUCAAAGCAGCUACGAGAAGAAACCAAGAUGGAGGGGAGCCCAAAGCAUCUGAGAGAAUUGAUAAAUGAAAGAAACAUGCUUAAAACAUGACCGUUUUAAAGGUGAAUGCUGACCAGUGAGAAAACUAGAUGUGACCAUCCAGAAAAAGCAUAGACAAAAAAAUGCAGUCUUAGUACUGGGAUGUUUGAGAUGGGGUCUAUCUACAUGUCUCUAGCUGUCCCUAUCAGGACAGCAUCUGGUGUGGCCUGCAGAGUUGAUUCCUGUACUUUUUUUUUUUUUUGUGGGCUGUAUGUAAAUGGAUUGUUUUGACAAUCCAUUCGACAGUGUUCUCUUCUGUGAAGGUCAUAGGUGAGCUGAUUGACAGACACAGCUGUACAGACUGAAUGCAAUCCUGACUAUAAAGCUGCAGUUCAUCAUUAUGAGCUAUUUCCUUAUUCUGGCAGUGAUUGAAAUAAAAUGGGGAGUAUUGAAAUAAAAAACAUUCAAUUGCAAAUA
ensembl:processed_transcript Snhg5 small nucleolar RNA host gene 5